rnacentral:rRNA from 1 species
UACGAAGGGGGCUAGCGUUGUUCGGAAUUACUGGGCGUAAAGCGCACGUAGGCGGAUUUGCCAGUCAGGGGUGAAAUCCCGGGGCUCAACCUCGGAACUGCCCUUGAUACAGCAAGUCUUGAGUCCGGAAGAGGUGAGUGGAAUUCCUAGUGUAGAGGUGAAAUUCGUAGAUAUUAGGAAGAACACCAGUGGCGAAGGCGGCUCACUGGUCCGGUACUGACGCUGAGGUGCGAAAGCGUGGGGAGCAAACAGG